ACACAAACCAAACGUACCAGGCAACCCACAAAUUCUCUCUCUCUCUCUCUCUCUCUCUCUACACUCCACUAGCUCUUCGUCGAUUGCCGCCGUCCACUCCUCACCCGCCGUCCCUUCCUCCGCGGUGGUCAGUUGGCUCUCUCUCUUUAUGUCUCUCUUACUCUCUCCUUCUCCGAUCCCCAAAAGCUCAGCUCCAUCGCCAUUAAUGAUGUCUUCUAGUCGAUAGAGCAACGCUUCUUCCCUCAAAUGUGUUGAAGUCGAACAACGAAGAUCUGGUGGUCAACGGGUUUGCGACAGUGUCGCAAUGGUCAAGAGGUCACUGCUGCUCACGGUGAUGUCGCGGUGAUUUCAACGCUUGUGAGCUCGUCGGACUAGAGAUCGGAGUUAGAGGACUACGAGAUCUGAGUUCUGAGUUCGCCUCCGCCGCCACAUCUUCCACCACCAUCCCUCCCACUUUGUCCCAACCACCGGAGCUGAAAAACCUCUUGCACAUUUGAAAACCCUAACCCUAACAUUUGAUUGGUGACAGAAAGAGGGGGUGUUUGGCUGAAGCUUCCAAGGGCCACCAGCCUCGUCGGCGAUCCGGGCUUCAGCCAUGUCGACAUCUUCUUCGCAAGCUCUCACUCUCUGGACAUCUCCACCAUGGGUUUGUUCUAGUUGUUCUUCAUCAAUCGCAACGAUCUCUGUUCUUCAUCGAUCUCAAGGCUAAUCGAACUCGAACUCAAUCUCUCUCGCUAUUAGGUCCCAUCUUGAGUUUGCAAAUCGCAAAUCCGAAAUCGAGUUUGAAUCAGAUCAGAUCUAUCUUGCUCUUUAUCUCAGGAUGUUUUUUGUUAUUUAGGUUUCAAGAUUGAUGAUUGAGGACUCUGGAGCUGUAAAUGGGGUUAUAUUGGCUGAUGGGACAAAGGUGCAUUCUUCAGUUGUUUUGUCAAAUGCAACCCCUUACAAAACUUUUAUGGAAUUGUUACCUGAAAAUGUUCUUCCAGAUGAUUUUAUCUGUGCCAUCAAGCAUUUGGAUUAUAGCUCUGUAAGUUUCUUUGUAUAUUACUUGUUACUUUCUUCAAUUAUUAGAUAAUCUGUGCUGUUCAUGCCGUUAUUUUCUUAUCAACAAACAAAAUUUUGAAAAAAAAUAGUGUUGAGAAUAAGAUUUUUUAAGCUUCUUGAGUACUGCAAUGACAUCCAGGAGCAACAACAUUCCAUCCAAUGGGUUCGUACUUCCACUGAAAUUACAGAGCAUUUUGAACUUUCUGAGAAAUAAAAGUGAAACGUAUAUAUAGUUACCAAAACUUUAAGAUUCUCAAUUGAAAUUUCUCAAAGCAAUCUGACUAGUUUGCGAAUAUUAGAGAUCUUCAAUAUUUGAAAUAAUAAUAAUAAAUAACUUU